GGGAAUGUGGCUUAGUGGUAGAGUGCUUGCCUACCAAGCAUGAAGCCCUGAGUUCAAUUACUCAGUACCA
rfam:Dipodomys ordii contig_43514, whole genome shotgun sequence.